UGCCGGAUGGCCGAUCGGUUUAGGCACUGGCCUUUGAAGCCAGCGAGGUUGGUUCGACUCCAACUCCGGCAU
rnacentral:tRNA from 1 species